AGCUGCCCUGGUCCAGUGGUUCUUAACAGUUCAACAGUUCUGUGUAGAGAUUGUGAAAUGUUUAGGACCACUUGAUCUGGG
ensembl:miRNA mdo-mir-203 mdo-mir-203